AUGCAAGUCGAGCGCACCUUCGGGUGAGCGGCGGACGGGUUAGUAACGCGUGGGAAUAUACCCUUUGGUACGGAAUAGCCUCUGGAAACGGAGAGUAAUACCGUAUGAGCCCUUCGGGGGAAAGAUUUAUCGCCAAAGGAUUAGCCCGCGUUAGAUUAGGUAGUUGGUGGGGUAAUGGCCUACCAAGCCUACGAUCUAUAGCUGGUUUUAGAGGAUGAUCAGCAACACUGGGACUGAGACACGGCCCAGACUCCUACGGGAGGCAGCAGUGGGGAAUCUUGGACAAUGGGGGCAACCCUGAUCCAGCCAUGCCGCGUGAGUGAUGAAGGCCUUAGGGUCGUAAAGCUCUUUCGCCUGUGAAGAUAAUGACGGUAGCAGGUAAAGAAACCCCGGCUAACUCCGUGCCAGCAGCCGCGGUAAUACGGAGGGGGUUAGCGUUGUUCGGAAUUACUGGGCGUAAAGCGCACGUAGGCGGACUGGAAAGUUGGGGGUGAAAUCCCAGGGCUCAACCCUGGAACUGCCUCCAAAACUAUCAGUCUAGAGUUCGAGAGAGGUGAGUGGAAUUCCGAGUGUAGAGGUGAAAUUCGUAGAUAUUCGGAGGAACACCAGUGGCGAAGGCGGCUCACUGGCUCGAUACUGACGCUGAGGUGCGAAAGU
rnacentral:rRNA from 1 species